rnacentral:rRNA from 1 species
AUACGGAGGUUGCAAGCGUUGUUCGGAAUGACUGGGCGUAAAGGGAGCGCAGGCGGCCAGGUCAGUCGGAAGUGAAAGCCCGGGGCUUAACCCCGGAAUUGCUUUGGAUACUGCCUGGCUUGAGUAUGCGAUAGGAAAGUGGAAUUCCAGGUGUAGCGGUGAAAUGCGUAGAUAUCUGGAGGAACACCGGUGGCGAAAGCGGCUUUCUGGCGCAUAACUGACGCUGAGGCUCGAAAGCGUGGGGAGCGAACGGGAUUAGAUACCCCGGUAGUCCACGCCGUAAACGUUGUGCACUAGGUGUGGGAGGUAUCGACCCCUUCCGUGCCGAAGCUAACGCAUUAAGUGCACCGCCUGGGGAGUACGGUCGCAAGACUGAA